rnacentral:rRNA from 1 species
UACGUAGGGGGCGAGCGUUGUCCGAAGUUACUGGGCGUAAAGCGCGCGUAGGCGGUCUCUUAAGUCUGGUGUGAAAGGUUCAGGCUCAACCCGAAGAGUGCACUGGAUACUGGGAGACUUGAGUUUGGGAGAGGAGAGUGGAAUUCCGUGGUGUAGCGGUGAAAUGCGUAGAUAUCAGGAGGAACACCGAUGGCGAAGGCAGCUCUCUGGCCCAAAACUGACGCUGGAGGUGACGAAAGCGUGGGAGCGAACGGG